CUUGGCUACACGCGAUUGAUUCAGCUUUUUCUUUAUGACUUACGUUUUGUUGCGAUAUUAAUUUGCUGGAGAUUGCAAUUUCAAUGAAGAAAAAUAGAUUCUUUUAGAUCAGGUGCAUAACGAAUGAUUCUUUACCAUGUUGUUUCAGCAAGAGCAUUCACAAGGGUCGCCGAGAUCAAAUCAUAGUAAUGUCCAGCUUCUUACUCUCUUUCUUCGGAACCAAUUAUUUCAGCUACUCGAGAUCAGAGGAGAAGUUUCAAGAUUCAUAUGUAAACUGAAUGCUAAAAGAGAGGACUGGCCCCAUCGCACUCACUUGGCUGCUGGAGCAGGGUUGCAAGCUCAACGUUUACUUGAGGGCGAAUUUAUCAGAGACAAGGCAUUGGGAGUUCAUUUACUGUUGAUUUGCAUCUAUGGAGUUGGGUAGUUGCUGAACGCCCUUGCAAGAUUGUAUGAGUCGGUGUUACCAUCAUUGAUCUAGGAGUUUGUCCCUUUCUUGAAGCUGCGGCGGACU